UACCAGCACCCCGAGCGGUCGGGACGUUUAUUGGGCCUAAAGCAUCCGUAGCCGGUUCUACAAGUCUUCCGUUAAAUCCAAAUGCUUAACAGGUGGGCUGCGGAAGAUACUAUAGAGCUAGGAGGCGGGAGAGGCAAGCGGUACUCGAUGGGUAGGGGUAAAAUCCGUUGAUCCAUUGAAGACCACCAGUGGCGAAGGCGGCUUGCCAGAACGCGCUCGACGGUGAGGGAUGAAAGCUGGGGGAGCAAACCGG
rnacentral:rRNA from 1 species